rnacentral:rRNA from 1 species
AACGAACGCUGGCGGCAUGCCUAACACAUGCAAGUCGAACGAGACCUUCGGGUCUAGUGGCGCACGGGUGCGUAACGCGUGGGAACCUGCCCUUAGGUUCGGAAUAACUCCCCGAAAGGGGUGCUAAUACCGGAUAAUGUCUUCGGACCAAAGAUUUAUCGCCUUUGGAUGGGCCCGCGUUGGAGUAGCUAGUUGGUAGGGUAAAAGCCUACCAAGGCGACGAUCCAUAGCUGGUCUGAGAGGAUGAUCAGCCACACUGGGACUGAGACACGGCCCAGACUCCUACGGGAAGCAGCAGUGGGGAAUAUUGGACAAUGGGCGAAAGCCUGAUCCAGCAAUGCCGCGUGAGUGAUGAAGGCCUUAGGGUUGUAAAGCUCUUUUACCCGGGAUGAUAAUGACAGUACCGGGAGAAUAAGCGCCGGCUAACUCCGUG